rnacentral:rRNA from 1 species
AAGAUUAAGCCAUGCAUGUCUAAGUCCAAGCUGUGUUCACACGGCGAGACCGCGGACGGCUCAUUAAAUCAGUCGUGGUCCAAAUGGGCCAGUGCAAAUCCUACUUGGAUAACUGUGGUAAUUCCAGAGCUAAUACAUGCAACUGAUAUCCCGAAGGCGGUGUUUGGGCUUGCUUGCCUUGCGCUGCGCUGCUCUGACGGAUGCUUUUAUUAGACCAAGCCGCUGAGGACUUGAGGGUUCGCGCUCUCUUGUCUGACUCGUGUGAUGGUGACUCUGGAUAACCAAAUUCUGACAAGCGCACGUACUUCUCUUCUGAGCGAGACGGCGCUGCCACUUUCGAGUGUCUGCCUUAUCAGCUAUCAACCGUUCGUUAUGCGCGACCGAUGGCUUUGACGGGUAACGGGGAAUCAGGGUUCGAUUCCGGAGAGGCAGCCUGAGAGACGGCUACCACGUCCAAGGACGGCAGCAGGCACGCAAAUUACCCAAUCCCAGCAAAUGGGGGAGGUAGUGACGAAAUCUAACGAUGCGGGCGCCCUUUCUGGGGCCCCGCAAUCGGAAUGGGCACUUUCUAAACAA